rnacentral:rRNA from 1 species
UAGAUACCCUAUUAUUCUCAUAAAGCUAAUAUUUAUAAAUAAAUAAUUAUUAAAGUUAGUGAAUUUGACGGCAUAUAAUUUCACAGAGGAGUUUGUAUAUUAAUCGAUUCUACACGCCUAAUCCACCUUAAAUAAUAGUUUGUAUACCGCCGUAUUAAAAUUAAUUUAAGAUUAAUUUCCAAUGGAAAAUUCCAAAAAAUCAGGUCAAGGUGCAGCUUUUUUAAGUCUAUAUGAACUACAGUAAUCUAAUAUUAUGGAAUAAUAUAUGUAAAUUAUUACGAAAAUGAAUUUGUAUGUAAAUACUUAUCAAAAUGAUUUAUUGAAAAAUAAUUAUAUGUGUACACAUCGCCCG